GCCGACGUAGCUCAGUUGGUAGAGCAACGCAUUCGUAAUGCGUAGGUCGCAGGUUCGAUCCCCGUCGUCGGCU
rfam:Sphingobacterium sp. 21, complete genome.